GAUUUGUCCAUCUUAUAGAAUAUGGAUGGUUACAUAAAUCCCGUUUCUUAUAAACCUUCUGAUUCAAACAGACUUCACCUUUUAAAGAAACAGCUGUUGAACCAGGACUUAACGAAGUUCCAUUGAGAUCACAUAUGCAAGAGAAAUGACUAACGAAUAUAGGAUAUUCAUCAAUUGACAGACAAUGUUGUUGCUGAUAUCCACUGCGAAUCAACACAAUUCUGAUACGUGUGAAAGACUUCAUACUUGGAAACUAUUAAACCCUCAUAGGUCCAACACUCAGAGAUAUAUAUGAUAAUAUGAAAUUAAGUUUGCUCUUAGGACUUUUUGCAAUAUUGACUCAAAACUCAAAGUCAAACCUAAAACUAACUCAUGCUUUGUUCUAUUCACUCCACAA
rnacentral:lncRNA from 1 species